GAUGAACGCUGGCGGCAGGCCUAACACAUGCAAGUCGAACGGAAAGACGAAACAGUUUGCUGUUUCGCUUACGAGUGGCGGGCGGGUGAGACAUGUCUAGGAAACUGCUUGAUGGGGGGGAAUAACUCGUGAAAACGGUAGCUAAUCCCUCAUAACGUCUGAAGCCCAUAGGGGGGGAGCCACUGGCGUCCUUCCAGCCUGUGCUCCCAGGUUGUAUUAGCUUGUUGGUGGGGUAACGGCUCACCAAGGCGACGAGCCCUAGUUGAUCUGAGAGGAUGAGGGGCCACACUGGAACUGAGACACGGUCCAGACUCCUACGGGAGGCAGCAGUGGGGAAUAUUGCACAAUGGGCGCAAGCCUGAUGCAGCCAUGCCGCGUGUAUGAAGAAGGCCUUCGGGUUGUAAAGUACUUUUAGCGGGGAGGAAGGGAGUAAAGUUAAUACCUUUGCUCAUUGACGGUACCCGAUGAAGAAGCACCGGCUAACUACGUG
rnacentral:rRNA from 1 species